AUUGAACGCUGGCGGCAUGCUUUACACAUGCAAGUCGAACGGUAACAGGGAGCUUGCUCCGCUGACGAGUGGCGAACGGGUGAGUAAUGCGUCGGAACGUGCCGAGUAGUGGGGGAUAACGCAUCGAAAGGUGUGCUAAUACCGCAUACGAACAGAGGUUGAAAGUGGGGGACCUUCGGGCCUCACGCUAUUCGAGCGGCCGACGUCUGAUUAGCUAGUUGGUGAGGUAAAGGCUCACCAAGGCGACGAUCAGUAGCGGGUCUGAGAGGAUGAUCGGCCACACUGGGACUGAGACACGGCCCAGACUCCUACGGGAGGCAGCAGUGGGGAAUUUUGGACAAUGGGCGCAAGCCUGAUCCAGCCAUGCCGCGUGCCUGAAGAAGGCCUUCGGGUUGUAAAGGACUUUUGUCCGGGAGCAAAUGCUGGUGGCUAACAUCCACCGGAGCUGAGAGUACCGGAAGAAUAAGCACCGGCUAACUACGUGCCAGCCGCCGCCGUAAGAC
rnacentral:rRNA from 1 species